UACAGAGGUCUCAAGCGUUGUUCGGAUUCAUUGGGCGUAAAGGGUGCGUAGGCGGCGCGGUAAGUCGGGUGUGAAAUCUUGGAGCUUAACUCCGAAACUGCAUUCGAUACUGCCGUGCUUGAGGACUGGAGAGGAGACUGGAAUUUACGGUGUAGCGGUGAAAUGCGCAGAUAUCAGGAGGAACACCGAUGGCGAAGGCAGGUCUCUGGGCUGUAACUGACGCUGAGGAGCGAAAGCAUGGGGAGCGAACAGG
rnacentral:rRNA from 1 species